rnacentral:rRNA from 1 species
UACGGAGGGUGCAAGCGUUAUCCGGAUUCACUGGGUUUAAAGGGUGCGUAGGUGGGAAUGUAAGUCAGUGGUGAAAUCUCCGUGCUUAACAUGGAAACUGCCAUUGAUACUAUGUUUCUUGAAUUUUCUGGAGGUAAGCGGAAUAUGUCAUGUAGCGGUGAAAUGCUUAGAUAUGACAUAGAACACCAAUUGCGAAGGCAGCUUACUACACAAAUAUUGACGCUGAGGCACGAAAGCGUGGGGAUCAAACAGG